GGAUGAGGCCUACAGAAACACACCGGUAUUCUUUGGCUAUCGCUCGGUGGCGGUGAAAACACCUUUCAUGCUUCGCCGAAAAACGAAAACGGCGGCGGCGUACCCAUGUUUGAUCGCGAUCCAUCAUGUUGAUCACCGGCCCGCCAACCCCAACCGAAGCCCUCUUCGUCGUGGCACUGAACCCCAAAAAGACAACUCCAUCCCAGGGCACCCCACAGGGAUCAUUUGACUGCCCCCAACUUGGUGGCGCAGCCUGCCAUUGAUUCAUCAGUGAUCGGAGAGCAGCAGCUAUCAGAAGAAACAAAUAUUGAUAACAGGGAAAAAGCAAAGAAUAACACAAUUAUGCAUCAAGGGAGCAGAGAUCAGAUGAGACAACAAAAAGUUUGGAAGAGUUUCUCUACAAUGAAUGGUCUAAAACGGAACUGACGUGUUUUCGUGGCUUACGUCUAUUAUCAUCAAUCCUCCAGAAUGUAAGAAUGGAAAGAAAUCUUGCUGCUAAACUUUUGUGCAUCGAGAGGUGAAAAUUUGUGGCUCACAUAAUAUUAUUAGAGAUGUGAUGAACUAUUAAGUAGAAUUUAAUCUUCUUGGGGAUUUUAAUAGGUAGAGAAAGGACAAUGAAUAUUGAUUUAGAUUAGACAGAUUGGGAAAUCAUUGAUACACUUGCGAUUUUCAUUCCACAUGCUGAUUUUUUGGGCCAAAAUAUCAUGAUACUCAUGACCAAGCUCAUCAAAACACAUUUCUAUGGGACCUCCAACCACCUCAUACCUCUAUGAACUGCUUCAUCUAACAAAGAAGAAAUCUCUUCCUAUAAUCCAUUUCAAUUCAGUGGACAAAGAAACAGCAGGAUGAGAAUUACCGUCCUGUUGAUCGGUGUCGCAUGAACA